CGAUUUAGCACAGUUGGUAGUGCAACGCACUCGUAACGCGUAGGUCAUUGGUUCGAAUCCGAUAAUCGGC
rnacentral:tRNA from 2 species